rnacentral:lncRNA from 1 species
AGCAUGCCAAGGAUGUGGUCAUUUAUUUAGGAAACAAAGGGGAAACAUUAAAGGUGUACAGGCUUGACACAUUCAAAGCUGUGUCUGCUCCUCGGUGCAUUGCUGCUCGGGCGCCGCAGCCCGCAGCCGCCAGCCUCCCCCGGCCGUGCCCCUCCCCCGUGGAGCCGGCUGUCGGUCGGCGCCCACUGACAAUAUAUAGUCUAAUAUAUAGACUAGGAAAUCAACUCUGUUUUUACAAAAGUCUUAAAAACAUGCUCUAAAAACAAAUGGCAAAGGUUAUUACUGGUACCACUGUUUUUUUCCCCCCUGCACAGUUAAUAAUUUUAUCCUGAUAAGCUUGGAGGAGCUACCAUCAGGCCUGUUUUCGAGUGAGAUCAAGACUUAGAGGUGGAGUGAAGUCUGUGCUAGUCGGACCUGAAUGAAGGCCUGCUUUGAGUUGUCAGAUAGGAAGGGGCCAGGGCAGUUUUUCCCUAUUCCUGUAAAAGGGGGAUGGGGUGGGGGGGAGUGUACUUUUUUGUUGCCUAAUUAAGGUAUAUCCCUUUAUAUCUACUUAAGUUAGUCUCCCUGGAGGAAAAGGGAUUCACACCAAAACCUGCCCAACUAACCUUCAUGAGUCCUGCGAUGCCUGGCUCUUUGCAGUUGCUAUGGUAGAAGAAGGCUUCUUCUCCCAGCUUCAUGGCUCUAAGGAAGUUCCGAGCCUGUCUCGGGAGAAGAAAGAGUAACUAUCCUCCCACCAGCUGGAAAGUACUAGCUUUUAGCAGAAAUCAAGUCUGCUUUUAAUAGAUGGGUGAUUCUUGUCUGCAACUCCUCGAUUCAUUAGAAAGUCCUUCCCCUUUGCCAGGACAC